rnacentral:rRNA from 1 species
CAUGGCUCAGGAUGAACGCUGGCGGCGUGCUUAACACAUGCAAGUCGAACGGUGAAAGAGAGCUUGCUCUCUGGAUCAGUGGCGAACGGGUGAGUAACACGUGAGCAACCUGCCCCGGACUCUGGGAUAACAGCUGGAAACAGCUGCUAAUACCGGAUACGAGCUGCGAAGGCAUCUUCAGCAGCUGGAAAGAAUUUCGGUCCGGGAUGGGCUCGCGGCCUAUCAGCUAGUUGGUGAGGUAAUGGCUCACCAAGGCGUCGACGGGUAGCCGGCCUGAGAGGGUGACCGGCCACACUGGGACUGAGACACGGCCCAGACUCCUACGGGAGGCAGCAGUGGGGAAUAUUGCACAAUGGGCGAAAGCCUGAUGCAGCAACGCCGCGUGAGGGAUGACGGCCUUCGGGUUGUAAACCUCUUUUAGCAGGGAAGAAGCGAAAGUGACGGUACCUGC